UGUGUGAGCGAGCCUGCUCGCGAAAGCGGUUUAUCAGUGCCAUCAAUGCACGCUGACACACCGCUUUCGCGAGCAGGCUCGCUCCCACA
rnacentral:misc_RNA from 1 species